GACGAACGCUGGCGGCGUGCUUAACACAUGCAAGUCGAACGGAAAGGCCCUGCUUUUGUGGGGUGCUCGAGUGGCGCACGGGUGAGUCACCCGUGAGUAACCUGCCCUUGACUUUGGGCUACCUUCAGGAAACUGGGGCUAAUACCGGAUAGGAGCUCCUGCUGCCUGGUGGGGGUUGGCAAGUUUCGGCGGUUGGGGAGGGACUCGAGGCUUAUCAGCUUGUUGGUGGGGUAGUGGCUUAUCAAGGAUUUGACGGGUAGCCGGCCUGAGAAGGUGACCGGCCGCCAUGGGGCGAAGGAGACGCCCCGAAGACUCCGGGGGGAAGCAGUAGGGAAGAAUGCACAAUGGGCGGAAGACUGAUGCAGCAACGCCGCGGGGGGGAGGAAGGCCGUCGGGUGGUAGUCCGCUUUCGCCUGUGAAGAAGCAGGAAUGACGGUAAUUGGUAAAUAAGCACCGGCUAACUACGUG
rnacentral:rRNA from 1 species